rnacentral:rRNA from 1 species
GUCCACGCUGUAAACGAUGAGCACUCGAUGUGCGAGGUCUACGACUCCUCGCGUGUCACAGCUAACGCAAUAAGUGCUCCGCCUGGGGAUUACGGUCGCAAGACUAAAAACUCAAAGGAAUUGACGGGGGCCCCGCACAAGCGGUGGAGGAUGUGGUUUAAUUCGACGCAACGCGAAGAACCUUACCUGGGCUUGACAUCCCCGGACGCCCCAGAGAUGGGGUUUCCCUUCGGAGCCGGGAGACAGGUGCUGCAUGGCUGUCGU